rnacentral:rRNA from 1 species
GAUGAACGCUGGCGGCGUGCCUAAUACAUGCAAGCCGAGCGAACGGACGAGAAGCUUGCUUCUCUGAUGUUAGCGGCGGACGGGUGAGUAACACGUGGAUAACCUACCUAUAAGACUGGGAUAACUUCGGGAAACCGGAGCUAAUACCGGAUAAUAUUUUGAACCGCAUGGUUCAAAAGUGAAAGACGGUCUUGCUGUCACUUGUAGAUGGAUCCGCGCUGCAUUAGCUAGUUGGUAAGGUAACGGCUUACCAAGGCAACGAUGCAUAGCCGACCUGAGAGGGUGAUCGGCCACACUGGAACUGAGACACGGUCCAGACUCCUACGGGAGGCAACAGUAGGGAAUCUUCCGCAAUGGGCGAAAGCCUGACGGAGCAACGCCGCGUGAGUGAUGAAGGUCUUCGGAUCGUAAAACUCUGUUAUUAGGGAAGAACAUAUGUGUAAGUAACUGUGCACAUCUUGACGGUACCUAAUCAGAAAGCCACGGCUAACUACGUG